rnacentral:rRNA from 1 species
AGGAAGCACCGGCUAACUCCGUGCCAGCAGCCGCGGUAAUACGGAGGGUGCAAGCGUUGUUCGGAAUUAUUGGGCGUAAAGCGCGUGUAGGCGGUCGAGUAAGUCAGAUGUGAAAGCCUUCCGCUCAACGGAAGAAGUGCAUUUGAAACUGCUUGGCUAGAGUACGGGAGAGGAGAGUGGAAUUCCCGGUGUAGAGGUGAAAUUCGUAGAUAUCGGGAGGAACACCAGUGGCGAAGGCGGCUCUCUGGUCCGAUACUGACGCUGAGACGCGAAAGCGUGGGGAGCAMACAGGAUUAGAUACCCUGGUAGUCCACGCCGUAAACGAUGGGCACUAGGUGUAGGAGGUAUUGACCCCUUCUGUGCCGAAGCUAACGCG